UUUAGUCAGGCAACGAGCGAGAUCCCUGCUUCUAGUUGCUAUCAUUGUUCUCAGGAGUAAUGGGGCUAAUUAGAGGGACUGCCGUCGCUAAGGCGGAGGAAGGAGGGGGCUACGGCAGGUCAGUAUGCCCCGAAACCCUCGGGCCACACGCGGGCUGCAAAUGGUAAGGACAAAUAAGUUCCUAUUUCGAAAAGGAGGAGGUAAUCUCCAAAACCUUACCUCAGUUAUGAUUGAGGGCUGAAACUCGCCCUUCAUGAAAUAGGGUCCCGAGGAACCGGCGGUCAAUCCCGCGCGGUGAAUACG
rnacentral:rRNA from 1 species